rnacentral:rRNA from 1 species
UACGUAGGGUCCGAGCGUUGUCCGGAAUUACUGGGCGUAAAGAGCUCGUAGGUGGUUUGUCGCGUUGUUCGUGAAAACUCACAGCUCAACUGUGGGCGUGCGGGCGAUACGGGCAGACUAGAGUACUGCAGGGGAGACUGGAAUUCCUGGUGUAGCGGUGGAAUGCGCGGAUAUCAGGAGGAACACCGGUGGCGAAGGCGGGUCUCUGGGCAGUAACUGACGCUGAGGAGCGAAAGCGUGGGGAGCGAACAGG